CCUUACCAGGUCUUGACAUACUAUGCAAAUCUAAGAGAUUAGACGUUCCCUUCGGGGACAUGGAUACAGGUGGUGCAUGGUUGUCGUCAGCUCGUGUCGUGAGAUGUUGGGUUAAGUCCCGCAACGAGCGCAACCCUUAUUAUCAGUUGCCAGCAUUAAGUUGGGCACUCUGGUGAGACUGCCGGUGACAAACCGGAGGAAGGUGGGGAUGACGUCAAAUCAUCAUGCCCCUUAUGACCUGGGCUACACACGUGCUACAAUGGAUGGUACAACGAGUUGCGAACUCGCGAGAGUAAGCUAAUCUCUUAAAGCCAUUCUCAGUUCGGAUUGUAGGCUGCAACUCGCCUACAUGAAGUCGGAAUCGCUCG
rnacentral:rRNA from 1 species